GUGCAACCUGAACACGGCACCUCUAAGGAUCUCUGACUCACUUCCUCAAAGCCUCGUUAGCUGCGCUACGGUGGAAAUAAACUUUAGAUAAAUGUGUGUGCUGGGACCAAUGCAGCCUGAACACAAAUUCCACCCAAACACGGCAAAGAAAAAAAAAGCGGGACGCCAGUUGAUCAUCACUAGACCAAGGUGUUAAAAACCGAUUCACCAAAGGAAUGCGUUCAUGCGCCCGAACAAAAAUAAUGCCACUGUGGAGCUGAGCAUGUGACAGUAAACUGAGGACAAAUCUCUUCCGUCCCACUGAGAGGAGACACUCUCCUCCCUGCAUAUCCAACUACGAUCUGGCAACCAGUCGCCCAGUCACGCACCUGAAACGGAAAUUCAGUGCAGUGAAAGAAAAGACUUCAGUCGUUGUCUCAGAGGCCUUUGACCGUUUGUUGGCUCACAGUCCAUGUCAUCGUGCUGAUAGCAUUAAAUUCACUCCUUCACAAGAUGCAUUACUGCUUGUAAAUCAUCCGUCGAUCGGUGAGUUGACAAACCCCCACACUGGACACCACAUUUCUUUAUAGACGCUGCUCUAGUGCCUUUGUUGACCACACCCUCCAACAGCUUGUUGGACAUUGUGGUCUUGGAACAAAAGUGUGAGGCCAGGGUUUUCAUGUGUUUCCGAGGAUUGAGGGAUUUAAAUUCUGAUAAGAAGUAAUCACUAAGUUGAGCCACCUUUGAAAAGUUUUACACUGGAAACUAUCUCCAAGCAUGGCGUCACAUUGUUUUCUCUGUAGCAAAGGGCUGACACUACAGCUCUCCAUCAAACGCAGUUCUUGAAACGAUAUCUUCUCUUUUCUUUUCUCUCUGUUCCAGCAACUUUUUUCACAAUUUCAUUUCCCCCCCUUUUUUCUUCUGUCCUUGAAGGUUCCAAUACUGCACAGAUGUAUUGUCUU